rnacentral:rRNA from 1 species
GAUGAACGCUGGCGGCGUGCCUAAUACAUGCAAGUCGAGCGAACAGACGAGGAGCUUGCUCCUCUGACGUUAGCGGCGGACGGGUGAGUAACACGUGGAUAACCUACCUAUAAGACUGGGAUAACUUCGGGAAACCGGAGCUAAUACCGGAUAAUAUAUUGAACCGCAUGGUUCAAUAGUGAAAGACGGUUUUGCUGUCACUUAUAGAUGGAUCCGCGCCGCAUUAGCUAGUUGGUAAGGUAACGGCUUACCAAGGCAACGAUGCGUAGCCGACCUGAGAGGGUGAACGGCCACACUGGAACUGAGACACGGUCCAGACUCCUAAGGGAGGCAGCAGUAGGGAAUCUUCCGCAAUGGGCGAAAGCCUGACGGAGCAACGCCGCGUGAGUGAUGAAGGUCUUCGGAUCGUAAAACUCUGUUAUUAGGGAAGAACAAAUGUGUAAGUAACUAUGCACGUCUUGACGGUACCUAAUCAGAAAGCCACGGCUAACUACGUG